rnacentral:rRNA from 1 species
GACGAAGGGGGCUAGCGUUGUUCGGAAUUACUGGGCGUAAAGCGCGUGUAGGCGGUUGCCCAAGUCGGGUGGGAAAGCCUUGAGCUCAACUCAAGAACUGCCCUUGAUACUGGCGGUCUCGAGUCCGGGAGAGGUGAGUGGAACUGCGAGUGUAGAGGUGAAAUUCGUAGAUAUUCGCAAGAACACCAGUGGCGAAGGCGGCUCUCUGGGACGGUACUGACGCUGAGACGCGAAAGCGUGGGGAGCGAACAGG